rnacentral:rRNA from 1 species
UACGUAGGUGGCAAGCGUUUGUCCGGAUUUAUUGGGUUUAAAGGGUGCGUAGGCGGUCUUUUAAGUCAGUGGUGAAAUACGGCAGCUCAACUGUCGAGGUGCCAUUGAUACUGGAAGACUUGAGUACUGAUGAGGUAGGCGGAAUGGACGGUGUAGCGGUGAAAUGCUUAGAUAUCGUCCAGAACACCGAUAGCGAAGGCAGCUUCUAACGCGAUCAUUGACGCUGAUGCACGAAAGCGUGGGGAUCAAACAGGA